CAAAAUUAAACACACAGAUGGAGGAUAUGGAGAGAAUAGGCAGAGCGCAGGUUGUGAUUGUGGUUCCCAAGGAAAGCUGGCUGUACACUCAUAAACCCACAUGAAGAUGAGAGGGAACGCUGAGGGGAUUGGCUGGCCCUAUGCUCCAUAUUCACAGAAGCAGGAUGAGGCUGGGAAGCCUGCUGAGAAAAUGGUGUCGUAAUCAGGAGCCAGCAGUUCUGCCUGAUCAGACAAAAGGCUGGCUGGGUCCCCACCAUUAGAUCUCCAUCCAUCCACAGUCCACAGGUUUGGGCGUGAAGGACGUGCCAGACCUGCUGCCAAAGCAUCGGCCUCCACCUCACCCUGCAGACAUGGCUGAACACACACGCAUGCAUACACACAAACACGCACACUCCCGGUAAAAAUUAUGUAUAUCUCAUGUGUUUUCAACCAUGUACCUGCUCAUAUUUACAUCCAUCCAUCCACCAAAUUCAUGUUUCCCAUGACACUUUCCUGUGCUUACUUGGCGUCUGAUGAUGGAGUUGUCACACUCUCUUGUGCCUCAGGUCAGAGCUAGACUUGAACGAGACACAUUCACACGCUCUUCCUCCACACAAACAUAAACACACACGCGUUCGGUUUGUCAGUUGUCUCUCAGGCAUGCCCUAUUUUUAAAACUGAAAGCACACCUACACACAUUCUCCCAUGCCUGGGCACACCCACCGCGGCCCAUGUCAUGUUAUAAGACUGUCCUCGUCUCGGAGAACACCCUGCACAGUUGUAAAGCAGGCAAAAUUUGUCAGGUGAAGUAAAUCUCGACACCUGACACUAGUGGUCUCUCUUUAAAGUUGUUUGCACACCGCCCCCAUACUUAAUGGUACAGCACCUACUGAUUACUGCAUGCUCUGAGCUAGUCUGGUAAUUGCACAGUACAUACCUGUCCAGGGUGUAAGCCCAUCCGCUGAACACAGGGCCCCUCUGUUAGAUGGCUCACGGUUGUCGUAACUGAUAGAGGGAUCCUCCUAUCUCUCAUUCAGUAUCUGUCAUUGUCAGUGUGCAUCCCCACUAUGGGAUGCAUGUGCAAGUCAAUUCACAUAAAUUUUCACUGUGUACUUCAAUCAGUGUUUUUGCAAAGUUUGAUCUCAAAUAACCAAUAACCAUAAUGUUAGAAGCUCAAGAUAACUCAUAGAACGAGAAUCACUCUUCAAAAGUUGAGUUAUGAUGGUUUUCAACAGCCAUUUGGCAUGUGAAUCAGUGCACGGUUUUUAAACCUGCGGUUGUUUUCAUGGCUUCUGAAUGAGUCAGAUUUGGUGUGCAUGUGCUUGGUUGAUGUUGACGUCUGUGGUAGUGCAGUAUGUAGUCUGUUACCACAAAAGUAUUUCAAAUAUCACACCGGGAGAUCCUUUUGUAGUUAUUUUGGGUGGUUUGUUUUACCAAUAGCAGUCUCUCUUUUGACUUUACAUCAAAGACAUUGCUUAUCUUUUUGUCCAAUAAGAUUAUAUCAGGUGGUGGAUUUGGCUCCUUCUUCUCAUUGCACAGUUGCAAAACAACUGCUCACUCUUACCUUAGAUGUAGUUGCUAAAUGUGUUGUCUCUGUAUUACAGCAUAAGGUUUUUCACCUUGAUGUAACCAUUAUGAACAAACUCCUUGAGGACCUGGUAAGAUGCUUAGUGUAGCAUAAUGAGGAAGAUUAUGUUUUUUUUUAAAUAAUUACUUUUAUUUUAAAGAACAGGAAAGAAAAAACUAGAACAUUAGAAGUAAAUAAAGGCUCACAGAGAGAUCAAACUAUCUAAUUUCUGAGUAUUUGCCAGCUCGUUCCUGGGAGAAGCAAACUGUAAUGAGGAGUGGCCACAGAGGUUUGUCACACAAGUUCUGUCUGAAACACACUACAUGCACUCAGGGAACUGCAUACAAAUUUAACCAUAUUAGUGUAUAUACAUUUAAAGGUAAAUACGGCAACAUCCCAAUGUUUUUGAAUGUUAGGUAAACCAACUGACAAUUAGAUGUGGUGGAUUUUGGGUAUACAGAAAAAGGCCAAAAUCAAUACCAGGAUUAUGGUUUUAAGAAAUAAAAAUAGGGAAACAAACCUGAGUUGUGCCUUCAUUUUCUAACUCUAUGCAGUUUAAAUGUUGGCAUUUAGGAACAUAUGUGGCAUGGGAGCAAUAGAGGAUUUUUAAUUAACCAACUGAUCUUUGGUCAACUUUUUCUGAAUGGUGAUGCAUUAGUAGUAGGUAUGGAUGGAUAUUAGAGGUCACAGCAUGAUGUAAACUAACGCACACAUGAGCUCUUGAGAGGUAUGGCUUACCCUGUCUUACCCCCACUCCCUCCCCUGUUUUACAAAUCUCCCAGUAGUUGUAAGGUGGUGUUGUGUUGGUUAGGAGGUGGUUGUUGUUGUUACUGAUAGCCACAGGCCUGUGGCUUUUCCUGGGUGACAGUAACAGGAGUUAAAACCUGUAAAUCUUCAGGAAACCUCCUUCCAGCCCUCUAAUUCCUCAUUACCUCACGGCAGGUUGUCUCAGGAGAGAUUUAGAAGGCCUGCAGGGCUGCUUUAGUGGAGGAGAGUGUUUUACUGAGUGCGUGUUAACCUAUGUGGUGAGUGUAUAGGACCGCAGGGAAAGACUAGUGGGUUGUGGCUUUAGGCCAGGUGUGUGACCAUGGACCACAGGCAGGUAUCACCAUAUGGGGUUUCCAUCCUUGGUCGUGUGGGUAAUUGUGUGUGGUUUCAUGCUCCAGAAGCAAAGAUGGUGCACUCUGACUAACUUUUUCAACAACCACAACCUAAAAUAAGAAUAAUGAAAAGCUCAGUCACACCUCAGUAUUUCAGGUCAAGUGUAACAUAUCAUCCACUCUGUUAAUUCUGCCUAAAUGUUUACAGACUAAUGAAAGAACUCUGGGUUUGCUUAUCCUUUUAGCCUGCAUCACUCUAACCUGACACCCAGCCCCUGCAACUUUAUCUAUCUAUUUAUCUACCUGGCUGUCUGUGUCUUAUGUGUCUUUAAACAAACCUAUAAAAUCAAUGUUGGUUCCCAACACUGCUCAAACAAGAACUUUUUUUCUGAGUUGGAGCCUGCAGGGUCUCCUGGGAGCCUCAUGUUGUCUGUUUACUAGCUCCCACUAGUGGUAAAAUGCAGUAAUGUCCCCGCUGACCUGGUAAAUGAUUAGUGUUCAGUUUGUCUGUGUAAUGCUUGUAAUAUCUAAUUAAACAGAGAGAUCUUCUUUUAUUUAUAGUGACAUGAAUUCAGGUUUGAUACAUGCAGAGUAGUUUAAAUCAAAGGAACCGGUUUUAUUGCUACAAAGGAAUUAAUAGAUCAAGCCAAAAACACAUGUAUUGUUUGAGUGUGCACUUAAUUUCUUAUCUUGUAUCAUGAAACACGAAUGUACUGAUAAGCGGGUGUAAUGAUUUUUCCUGUCUUCACAUGGCUAUCCUAUUUGUGAAUGCAUGCUGUUGUGGUGUUGAAGUGAAUCAUUCAGCAGCUUGUGAGAUCCCCUCUAUGGCAUUGUGUCUCCAGCGACAGUGUUUACUGAUAAUUGAGUAAUUACCUGUAAAAGAUAGCACUCUCGUGGUUCUGUUCAGCUGAAAUCUUCCCAGUCGGCAGAUCAGGUUUUACCUUGGGAAGAAACUAAAUACAACAGUUUAGCGACAGUUUACUCUCUGUGUAAAUGUGUGUGUGAGAACAACAUACUGUAUAUAUAUAGAGAGACACUUUUGUGCUAUCAUUAAACUGUCGUCUAAGACUAUGAAAUCACAGGAAACAAGAAAGUGUUUAAAACUCAUUCGCCAGCUCCGACAAGAGGACUGUUGGACAUUUGAAAUUGCACAAAAAUCAUACCACGGCAAUUUGACAUUCCUUUGUGAGUUUCACAAUCCCACAGUGAAUGGAAAGUUGUAACAGGCACUUUGUGCGUACACUAGUGGCCUCACCCACAAUGGCAUUUGAAAGACAAACAGCAGUGCAUGCUGCUGGCCGGAGCUCCACAGCAGUGAAAGUGGUCGUUCUUUUAGAGUUACGGCAGCCAAAGUUCAGCAUAAUAUCCAUGUCAUUACAGUGUAAAGAAACCUUUGUUAGUCAGCCCUGUCCCUUCCCUGGUCUUCUAAGGCUGUUCUCUUUCUCUUAAAGAGUUUGAACUUGCUCUUCCUCUUCUUUCUUUCUUUUUUUUGCAGCCUCUCUGUCAAACUUUGUGUCUGUCUCUGCAUUAAGGGAUAGGCUCACAUUUUUUCAAGUCUGUCUGAAAACAAUAGUGUAGGUGCCCAUAUGAAUAUUUAAACAGGUUUUGCCAGCUGUAACCAUUCCUCCUGCUUAGUGGCCAUCAAGAGAUCACUUCCUAAUGUGCUUUCAAUAUAAGUGAUGUGGAACAAAAUCUCUAUAUGACGCUAUGAGUCUAAGCUUGUCAAAGCAGAAACAGCUCUAUUGGCCAAAUAUGUGUACAAAUACAAGGAAUGUGACUUGACUUGGCUCCAAAAGUAAUUUACAGGAAGCUAGAAAUAGACAUACGGCUAAAAACAAGGACAACAAAGCUGAACAAAGAUAGUUGAAAAUGCUGAAGCCUCAUUAGCUUCAGAUAAACUUUUCACUACAUGGAACUGUGGAUUUUGUCCCAAACCACUUACAAUGGACUUGUAUUAGGAGGGGAUCUUUUGAAUUACUACAUCAAGCAAACCCUGUUUUAAUUUUCAUUUAGGCAGAUGGCUUUUGUUUAAAGACAUACUACAAAAAUUAUCUAAUGAGCUUAUCCUUUAACAAAACAGCUGCUCAUCAAACUCCCUCCUCACCUCUGACACGACCCUGAUAUCCUGCUGUUUCCAUACGCUCACGUAUAGCCUACUUUCUUUUUCUCUAUCUGCUGUUUUUUCCACAAACUUCUUGCUCCAAACUGGGCCUCAAACCAGAAAUGAGUGGUACAGGCUGGAAUAUUUGGUUACAGAUGCAUUUCCAUUCAAUUGUCCUAAAAGGGGACAAGAAGAAGUAAGUGAUAUGACUUAAGGGGAUCAUAUUAAUGCAACGUACACACACAGACACAAUAAUCCCACAGGACUUCCUUCCCAUUCCCAUUAGAAACCACACCCAGGAGAACAGGUAACAGGAGAAUACCUUUCACAGGGUCAGACUGGAAGAGGUGGGAAAACAGGCAAGGUUUCUCCCUGAUUAGUUUCACCGCUUCAUAUCUCUAAGUUCUUUUCAUUUCAUAUUUACUUCACCUCCUUUUAUUUAUUUCUCUUUGUCUCUUUUACUAGCCAAGAUUCUUAUCCAUUUUAAAUACUGCUAUUGGCUGAUAAUUUGAAGUGCACCAUGCAUGCCAUAUACCCAAACUGAUCAGCCAGUCACUUUCCCCCUCCCCGAGCUUUUGCCUGAGAGUUGGUGCUCUGAAAGGGACAGUAAUAUGCACUGAUGUAAUGUGUGAGAUAGGGAUCUUUUGUGGGGUGUGUUUUAAAUUGUCAUCGUAAUGCGAA